rnacentral:sRNA from 1 species
AUCAACUUUCGAUGGUAGGAUAGAGGCCUACCAUGGUAGUAACGGGUAACGGGGUGUUAGGGCACGACACCGGAGAGGGAGCCUGAGAAACGGCUACCACAUCCAAGGAUGGCAGCAGGCGCGCAAAUUACCCAAUCCCGAUACGGGGAGGUAGUGACAAUAAAUAACAAUACGGGGUUCUUACGGAUCUCGUAAUUGGAAUGAGUACAAUUUAAAUCUCUUAACGAGGAACAAUUGGAGGGCAAGUCUGGUGCCAGCAGCCGCGGUAAUUCCAGCUCCAAUAGCGUAUAUUAAAGUUGUUGCAGUUAAAAAGCUCGUAGUUGAAUUUCGGGAUCAAUUUAUCGGUCGUGCCUACGGUAUGAACUGGUACAAUUGGUUUCUCCCUUCUGACGAAGCAUGAUGCCAUUAAUUUGGUGUCGUGGGGAAUCAGGACUGUUACUUUGAAAAAAUUAGAGUGUUUAAAGCAAGCAUUAGCUUGAAUACAUUAGCAUGGAAUAAUGAAAUAGGACGUUUGAUCCUAUUUCGUUGGUUUCUAGGAUCGACGUAAUGAUUAAUAGGGAUAGUUGGGGGCAUUAGUAUUCAAUUGUCAGAGGUGAAAUUCUUGGAUUUAUUGAAGACUAACUACUGCGAAAGCAUUUGCCAAGGAUGUUUUCAUUAAUCAAGAACGAAAGUUAGGGGAUCGAAGACGAUCAGAUACCGUCGUAGUCUUAACCAUAAACUAUGCCGACUAGGGAU